ensembl:lncRNA
CUGGGUGGUAUGAUUCGAGCACUGCCCCCGGAAGAGAAGGCUGACUGGCCUCGGCGCUUACAGACCUUAACGUUCAUGUACAACUGUACGGAACAUGAGACGACAGGUUACUCCCCAUUCUACCUCAUGUUUGGUCGGAUCCCCCGCCUACCUGUGGAUGUCCUCUUUUGUGCUGUUCUUCAUGACUCUGCUGUGGUGAGCUAUGAGAAGUAUGUGGCCAGUCUCGCCAACGAUCUGAAGGAAGCAAUGGUCAUUGCUCAGGUUCAUGCUACAAAGGAGCAGAAUCGACAUGCCCAGCUGUACAACAGGAGAGUAAAGGGAUCCAAUUUAAACAUCGGUGACAGGGUGCUCCUGGCCAAUAGGAAGGAGAGGGGUAAAAAGAAGCUUGCUGACAGGUGGGACUCGACAGUCUACACUGUGGUAGAUGUGAAUACAGAGACACACACAUACAGGAUCCGCGACACAAUCACUGGACGGGAGAAGGUGGUCCACAGGAACUUGCUGAUGCUGGUUAAUUUUCUUCCUGUGGGGGAUACAUGUGACAUAUCAGAUCUGGCCUCAUCCUUGCUCGGUACGGGGUCCUCCGUUUCAGGACAUGAUGGUGGCGAGGCAGAAGAGACCUCGUCUGGGAGAGGGAGGGAGUCUCUCAGUGUGGCUAGUGAAAGCUUUGACACUGAAGGUGACAGUGAGUCCCCUGUGACUGUGACGGACGGACAGGGUCCCUUGACCGAUGCGGUGCCCGUGGAUUCGGAGAGCAGAACCAUUGAAUGGAUUACUCAGUUGUCUGGGCCAAGCCUGGCUGAGGCGUGCAUUGUUGACAUGAGUGUUGCUUCUGAUCCCCAGAACGCAACUAUCUCACUUGAGGGCAGCACCACUGAUCAAUCUGUGACUUGUUAUUCUUGCCCUUCGACUGCUGCGGACGUCUCGACAGAUCUUAGGCAGUCAGACUUUGCACUCGAUACCAUGACACAGACAGAUAACACGUCUGAUUCUUUGCAUACUGUGGUCCAGGUCAGGUCAAGAUUUGGUCGCUUAAUCAAUCCUGUGAAUAGGCUUAUACAGACUAUGUCCAGGCAGGAUGUUGUCCAGGAAUAGCUUGAGGUUGUUACCUUUUAAUACUAUGAGUGGGUGGCUUAUGCCUCUUUAUGGCUGAAAAACGUGUGUUGGUAUAAUGUUUCACUGUCCUUAUUGUUUUUUUUGUCGUGAGCCUGUACUGCAUUGCACUUUGUGUUUGGGUCUUGUGGGGUGUACAAGGCACCCUGUUGCCAGUUGUUGGGUUGAGAGGCCUGCGCUGCUCUCGUACCACUUCAUCCUUAUGGGAUACAUUUUUUUUGUUGGUUUUCUGGAUGUUGGCCCUUUGUGAGUUGUCAAUUUGUAAUGUUUUCUAUGGCGUGCAAUCGGUGAUGAGCGCUCAUCUAUGAUAAAAUUCAGUGGGGGUGAAUGUAACGGAGUUAGAAAUACACUGUCAUUUUCAAAGUAUUGUAUUUUAUUUUUUUGGUUAUUAUUCAACAAUCUUGUUGAACGUGUGUGUGUGAAUUUUAUUUUGAUGAGUCAAAUUUGCGGAAAUUGCGAUUCAUCUCUACUGCGCCUCCUAGGCUUCCGUAGUCCCGUUUUUCCUUCACAGUAGUGUUACACUGUUGAAGACCCUGUGUGUAGGGAGCUGAUGUGCAGAGACCAGAAGGCAAUGUCUGUGUUUUAUUGUCUUCUGCAGGAGCAAAUAAAUGCUGAAAAGAUCAGUACCUGAGUCGACUACUUCCAUGCCCUAAACACAUCUGUUACAU